UACGAAGGGUGCAAACGUUGCUCGGAAUUAUUGGGCGUAAAGCGCGCGUAGGCGGCUUGGCAAGUCGGAUGUGAAAUCCCUCGGCUCAACCAAGGAAGUGCAUCCGAAACUGCUGAGCUUGAGUACUUAAGAGGAUCGCGGAAUUCCCGGUGUAGAGGUGAAAUUCGUAGAUAUCGGGAGGAACACCAGUGGCGAAGGCGGCUUACUGGUCCAUAACUGACGCUGAGGUGCGAAAGCGUGGGGAGCAAACAGG
rnacentral:rRNA from 1 species